AAGCUUGGUCCGGUGAGAGUGGCCCCGGGUGGGUUUGUUUGGCUAUUGGAGGAGAAAAAUGCUAACUUUAACGCGCCGGACAUUAAUUGGUGGAUAAUAAUGAUACACAUAGACACUUCGGGUCAUCCCCCUGUGACCACCAUCUUGCUCCCACAUGGAUGCUGAGACAGAGGUCAGUGUGCAGAGAAAAGUGGAGCUGGAGGUGGAGCAAGAUCAGGUUUCCUUGUUCCUGGGCAUAAAUUCUGAGCCUGCUUGGACCCUCCAAGCCCACCGAAGCCAGCUCUGCCCUUGGCCGCAGAGUCGAUAGGAGCAAAAUCCUGAGCCUCGGUUUUCCCAUUGCAGUUGAGGGUAAGGCUGAAGGACCGACAUGCCCAGCGCUCCCUUGGGCAGCUGGGGAGCUGGGCCGUAGCACGCUGCUGGUGGGAUUCAGUCCUGUGAGGCUGUCAGUGCGGGGCACGCAGAUCUAAUCCUGACAUCACUCAAGGCUUUAACUCGGCCCGGAUGAACUGUGGGACCUGCACCCAUCAGGUCCUUUAUACCGAUCAGUCUGUUCAGUCUCGAAACUGCUUUGAUUGAUUUUCAUUUCAGUGACUAGGACUGCUGUCUGACGGCACCAAUCAAAAUGAAAUUUGGCUUCUGGAAGACUCAGCUUAAGGAUGGAAUGUCUUGUUCUCUUUGUCAGUUUGGCUUAUCUUCCAUUCCAGGAGCUCAUGGAUUUGUCAUAUGCAUCAAAGUGCUUGAAUCUUCUGCCACUAAUUGGCUGUGUGAUCAACAUGACACAGUGAAAAAGUCACUGGUUUCAGGAUGUACCGGAACCUGUAUUUUGUCACGGCUCUGUCACUUAGAAGCAGUGUGACUUUGGGCAAGUCUGUAAGACCCCAGUUUUCUCUGUAAUAUGGGGAGAGUAAAAUUUACUUCACAGUAUUUUUUUCCGAUAAUUAAAUUUGACAAUGGCUAUGA